rnacentral:rRNA from 1 species
UGACGUCAAGUCAUCAUGCCCCUUAUGUCCAGGGCUUCACACAUGCUACAAUGGCCGGUACAGAGGGCUGCGAGACCGCAAGGUGGAGCGAAUCCCUUAAAGCCGGUCUCAGUUCGGAUUGGGGUCUGCAACUCGACCCCAUGAAGUUGGAGUCGCUAGUAAUCGCGGAUCAGCAACGCCGCGGUGAAUACGUUCCCGGGCCUUGUACACACCGCCCGUCACGUCACGAAAGUUGGUAACACCCGAAGCCGACGGCCUAACCCGUGAGGGAGGGAGUUGUCGAAGGUGGGACUGGCGAUUGGGACGAAGUCGUAACAAGGUAGCCGUACCGGAAGGUGCGGCUGGAUCACCUCCUUU